CAUCUGGAUUUAGCAAGGUCAGAGUGCAGCCACCCUGAAGCUGAACGCCAGCACAUCACUGUGUGUGCUUUCAGAGUAAGGAACCUGGCUCUGACACCUCCAGACACUGCUAAAGCUGGGGAUGCUCUUUGGGCCGGCCGUGCUGCUGAUCGUUUGUUGGCUCCUGCCUGAAUGAAUGCAAUAACCUUGUGUUCAGGGUUGGGCAAGGAUGGAUGGAUUCUUUUGCUGCAAAGAGUGCCCUGAAAAGGAUUAGCUCCCUCCGAGUGUCUCAACCACAGCCUUCCAUGGGAUGGUCUGCUUUGAUGCCUCAUUUUCCCUCAAGGAACUGCAGUCUUCGCUCUCACCCCACUGUCAGAUUUGAUUCAUCUCUGCAAAGAAGGAUACUGGAGAGUGCUGGUACUGGUAAUGCUGGCUGGGGUACCCAGGGCAGGAUGCACCAUGCUGCAGUGCACAUCCCCUGGGAUGCAGUGCUUGGUGCUGCCGAGCAGCUCAGGUUUUAGCCAAAGCUGCUGCAGCAGUGAGACACCACUGCUCACACACUUCAGUCCAUUAAACCUACAAUGGAUGAUCCCUGUGGAUUAAAUAAGACUGUGAUUGGGAAGUUCAUUUGAAAGCUUUCGCCAGUGUGAGCUCUGAACUGCCCCAGCCUGCUGCGUUCCCGCCUCAAUCAGCAUUAAAUUCUGGAUCAGCCUGGCUGAUUUCUGAAGACCUCACAUCUAAAGGUCGAGCAGAUCGUCUGCUGCUGAGCAGGAGAGAGGGGGCAGUGGGAAGCAAUGGUGCCAGCCAGGGAGCCUGCCGGGCACUGUGUCCUGACGCCAGCAGAGCCCAGGGACCAAAUGGAGCAGGCAAAGCCCUGAGGCAGCCCCAGAGCAAACAGAUCCAGAGUUUUCACAAGAAAAGGAAAUGUCUCCAUAAAGCAGUGCUGAGCAGCAGGAAUGUUGCACUGUUCAGAACAAAAGGUUUGGUUGAGUGGACUUUUUUUUCUUUUUAUCUUUAUAUAAUGAAAUUUUAGGGAAAACAGAGCUCGUCGUGGUCCAAAAACCAAAACGUGAAGAUGAAGCCAUCUGGUGGAAAAGGAGCAGAAGGUCAGACCUGCUCCAGCCGGACUCAACCCUUCCUCUGCCUUCUUCCUCCUCCUGCCCCAGAGCAUCUCCCCUAUCCCCUCUCCCCAACCCCCUCCCCAGACGCACAAUAUAUCCCUUCAGCCCUCCCCCAUGGCACACUUUGAGCUGCCCACCAACCCACUGCCCCCAUCCCUUCUAUCAGCAUUAACAAACCCACAACAGUUCAUUCCAGCAUUACUGUUUCAACCAGGCUGCCAUGUGAUAACGCUCCCGGCCCGUCAGCGCUCGCAGCUGCACGGCAGAUUAGUUAUAUUGUGCUGCGAGGCACCCAGCGAAACCAUCAGUGAGGCACUUACAGAAUUAGGGCCUGGCACUUAAUCGCUUUGCUGGUGGCUGCGUGUUAUUAAAUUCCCCCGAGUUCAGCAACUUCUUAGCCUAGCUCAAGGUUUUUGUUGUUGUUGUUUUGCUACAAGGCUCAGAGCAAUGCUCGGAGUGCCUGGGGAGCUUGGGUGAGCCGGGGUCAGCAAUGGCAUCCAAGAAGUGUUUUUCAUUUAAUGCCACCAAUCUAUCUUUAUCUCGGUAACCAAAGUGAAUAGAUGGAGGCAGUAGCUUCACCAGGGGACUGAAACAACUCAGUCCCACUGAAGUCAGUGGGUGUUUGGGGU
ensembl:lncRNA